UCAAAACACAAAGGCACAAAAACACAAAUUACAGAAAGAAAGCUAGUCGCUAAUCUUUGCUGCUCCGCCAAAAAAUAUCCAGCAUAUUUUAACUUUUGAUCGAUUUCGUAAUUUAGUUUAUAAAUAUAUUCGAACGCGUACGGAAGUCAGAAGCGAGCACUAUACGAAUAAGUGAAAAGAGUGAACACAUACAAAGAACACUGGUGAUUUUUCUUUUGCUACAAGUGAGUGCAAAAGAAAAAAUCCCCAACUACCUUAUUAUCAACACUUUUGCAGUGUAUUGAGAUGGAAAGUUACGGCGGAGCAACAGCGUCAGCUGCUCCCCAACAACUACCCGUACAAGAACAGCCCCAAAGAAAUCUCUAUGACGCAACGCUGCGAAACAGCAGUGGUAGCCAGUACGCAACUAAUACCAGUGUUGCUGGCAGAGUGAUUCGGGGUGGCAGCAGCAGGUGCAAUAGCAGUGGUGAAAAUUCGCGUUGCGAAAGUGAUGAGGAAUAUCAAGGAAACCAGCCAAGGUCAGGGCCAUUGAACGCCACAACAGCUGUUAACAUAGAGGCGGCAAAUGAGGGGCCAAAUGUUUUUGCACCCACUUCAGCACAGAAUAUUGCAAGCAUUGAUAGUAGUGAGCUGCCCUCAAGUUCGAAUAAUUUGGAAGGUGCCUCACCUAUGGCUUCGUACAAUGAGGACAGAAUGCGUCGAAAAUUGCAGUUUUUCUUUAUGAAUCCGAUCGAAAAAUGGCAAGCUCGUCGCAAAUUCCCAUAUAAAUUCGUAGUGCAGGUGGUGAAGAUCGUUUUGGUGACAAUUCAGCUGUGCCUUUUCGCGCAUUCGCGCUACAACCACAUCAACUACACCUGGGAUAACCGCAUCGCCUUUUCGCAUCUCUUCCUACGCGGCUGGGACGCUUCUCUUGAAGUCGAAUCCUAUCCACCCUCUGUUGGACCAUUCGCCCUCUACGAAAAGGCCGAUUUCUAUAACACCAUCGACUAUGCGGUGCGUGGUUACGCCAACAUGAGUCGUGCAAUCGGCCCAUACGAUUACCCAACCGAAAACAAUGAGAUGGCGCCGCUACAUCUCUGCCUCUACAACUAUCGCGAGGGUACAAUUUUCGGUUUCAACGAGUCGUAUAUUUUCAAUCCGGACAUCACCGAGUUCUGUUUGUAUUUACCGCCCAACGUGACAACGAUGGGUGUGCAGGCAUACCUGAAGCAGAGCGGCGUAGAGUUGAACUUCGCAUCGCUGGUUAAGGCGACGCUGGUGUUCGCCAUCAAAACGGUGAAUUUCAAGGCCUAUGGUGGACCACUAUCCGCACCCGAUUGCUUUAAAUUCGAUGUGACUAUAUUUUUCGACAAUCGCGACCACGACGGCCAGAUGCUGCUAUCGCUCGAUGCGGAUGCUCAGCGUUUGCGCUGCAAAGGCGAUGUUGAGUUCAUUUCCAAUGCAGAAUUUGAUGCGGCAUUGCGUAGCUUGUUGAAUAUUCUGGUGUUGCUGGUGUGUUUGCUGUCCUUCGCCUUAUGCUCGCGCGCCAUCUAUCGCGCCUAUUUGCUGCGCAUACAGACAGUCCACUUCUUCCGCAUGCAUUUCAACAAGGAUCUGAGCUUCGAGGGGCGAAUGGAGUUUGUGAAUUUUUGGUACAUAAUGAUCAUUAUCAACGAUUUACUACUUAUUAUUGGCUCGUCGCUGAAAGAACAAAUCGAGCGCAAAUAUCUUGUCGUCGAUCAAUGGGACACCUGCUCGCUCUUCCUGGGUAUUGGCAAUCUGCUGGUGUGGUUUGGCGUACUGCGCUACCUCGGCUUCUUCAAAACUUAUAAUGUUGUUAUACUCACAUUGAAGAAGGCCGCACCAAAGAUACUGCGCUUCCUGCUUGCGGCGCUCCUUAUUUACGCCGGCUUCACCUUCUGCGGCUGGCUCAUACUGGGUCCGUAUCAUCUGAAAUUCCGCUCGCUUGCCACCACCUCUGAAUGCCUGUUUGCGCUGAUAAAUGGUGACGACAUGUUCGCCACCUUCACAACGCUCUCGUCCAAGGCCGAUUGGCUUUGGUGCUUCUGUCAAAUCUACUUAUACUCCUUUAUUUCGCUGUAUAUUUACGUCGUGCUGUCGCUCUUCAUCGCCGUAAUUAUGGAUGCCUACGAUACAAUCAAAUGCUACUAUCGCGAUGGCUUCCCCAUUUCGGAUCUCAGAGCGUUUGUGGGUACGCGCAACGAGGAGGAUCUCACAUCAGGUGUGUUCAUGAAUAGCAUGGAUGACUUUGAUGGAAAUGGUAUUUUGGAUAUACUGCGCCAAGUGUUUUGCUGCGGGCGUUGUCGGGUGAACAAUGGCGGCACUGGUGGCAGCAACGGGCCCUCAGGGUACACCAGUCUCACGAGUAUUAUCAAGUGAUUGAAAGUUGAUGAUGUAAAAUGAAUUGACUCUGUACUAAUGAAUGUGACAAACGAACUGAGGACGAGUUGAUGCUUGGAAUGCGCUGUGACGCCGCCGCUGCUGCUGAGCUGCCAUAUUUGCAAGCAUUGUCGAUGGCAUGCAUUAGCUGAUUUGUGUAUUAUUAUUUCUUUUUAAAAAGCUUAUAAACUGUAUUGACAUUAAACAGCUCUAUUGUAUCCUACAUUUGGUAGCAGCUUCUGGAAAUAAUUACCCUUGCCUGGAUGAGGGUUUUUGAAAAUCAAGAAGGCCGUUUUAAUUUAAAAAAAUGUUUAUUUGUAAAACCAAAUUUGACAAGCUAAUGUGCGCAAAAAAGUAAUCAUUAAAAAGAACUGGACGCAAUUUUCUAAUACAAACUGAAGUAGAUUAAAUUAGAUUAGAUGUAUGAAUGAGGUUUGCACUUCAUUCUCAUGGUCUUUUGUGCCCUCUACUCAUCACAGUACCUCAUCCAAGCCCGGUUCCUUAUUAAGCUCUGGAUGGAGCUGGGUUGGCUGCAGUUGGCCAAGAUGUCGCAACCCUCCCCAUUCUAUAGCGCUGCAUUCCGCGAGAAGGUGCAUUGGAGUCUCCUGGGAUUGAUCGCAGAAACGGCAAGAGUCGUGCAUGUCGAGAGAGUGGCUCUCGAUGCAUAAGCGACCGAUCCAUACGUUAUCAUUGGUCUUACUAUCAUAAUGUAUAUCCUCCUCAGGAUUCUUGGGCUACAGUCCUAGGAUUUUUCUGCUAUACUUAUGCAGAUCGCCUAAAGUAUAAUAAGUACUUUGCAAUUCGUAUAUUAAGAAAGUGUGUACAAAAACUCGCUGACAAUAACUAAACCCAGACUUCGAUGUAAACAUGUAAAUACGAUAUUAGAAUAUUAAAUGUAGAAACCAAUAAUUGGAUGGAAUUCGUCGGGUAAAUUGUAUUUUUGAUAAAAUAAAAUAUUUUUAAAAUUUAAAAGCUUAGUGGUCAGGUAAAGUAAGUCUAUUCGUGACGUCGCUUAGAGAAAUGUAAAGAAGAGAAGGGGAAGUUUAGAAAUUAUUCCAAAGAUACUAAAGGUACAGCUGCGCUGCUCUGGAAUUCAUAAGAAUUACUGCUUUAAUCCACCAAUAAAAAUUGUAAGUCAACCUCGCACUUCUCCAAAUAUUCACAAAUGAAUAGCAGUGCAGUUCGGUAAAAGUUUAGAUAUCAGCUGUUUGAAAUCUACUUUAAUUAGUGUAUUUGUUUUUACUUAGUGAGACAUAGUAAUUUGAAAAUUUAUGGUCUCUCUCUCUAUUUUGGUUUUUACGGAAGAAUACUUUUUUACGGCAAGUGUGCGUUUUGUAGAUCUUUCUCAAAAAAAAAAAAUGUUGCUAGCAACAUUUAUAUGGCAACAUUGUUGCACAGCUUAGCCUAGCAGCUCUGCGUGCAUACUCUGUAUGCCAGCGUCAUUGGUGGGGUCAGGAACAGUUGAACAUUUGGAAUUAAAAUUACUGUUGGCAAGGAUUGCAAAAUUUUAAAUAUAUUUAUUUAUAAUUUUGAAUAUUUCUUCGCCAUAUUUUAAGCAUUUAAUUUUAAAAUUUUUUACCUCAUUUCUAACUUUCGCUCAUUCCAUUUAAACCAUUCUCUUUUCUGAUACAUGAAUAAAAAAAAACAGCAACAAAGAUCACUACCACCACCACCAGAAUGAACUUAAACUACACUCAUGCAAUUUAAAAAAGCAGUUAAUUAUGUAUGUCCAUGCAUACUUUUGUACGUACAGAUGUUUGUUAGCACUCUUCUUGCAAUUUAUUUCAUAUUUUCUGUUCUGAAAACUUAUAUACAGUAUUUAAAUUAUUAAAAAAAUCAAGUUUUUACAAAA